AACGCAUAUUGCGCCCUUUGGCAUUCCGGAGGGCAUGCCUGUUCGAGCGUCAUUACGUCCCUCAAACCGCACGGUUUGACGUUGGGCGCCGCCCGUGAGGGCGCGCCUCAAAGCGAGCGACGGUGCCCGCCAACCGCAGACGUACCAAGAUCGUCAUGGGCGCGGUGGGGGCCGGUCAACCAUGGAUAGCUUCUGAAUGUUGACCUCGGAUCAGGCAGGAAUACCCGCUGAACUUAA
rnacentral:misc_RNA from 1 species